AGUGGUGGCCGAGGGGUUAAGGCGCUAGCCUGCUAAGUUAGUAGGAUUUUCCUGCGCGAGUUCGAAUCUCGCCCACUG
rnacentral:tRNA from 1 species